rnacentral:rRNA from 1 species
GACAGAGGGGGCAAGCGUUGCUCGGAAUCACUGGGCGUAAAGGGCGCGUAGGCGGGAUGGCAAGUCGGUCGUGAAAUCCUUCGGCUCAACCGAAGAACGUCGGCCGAUACUGCCGUUCUUGAGGGAUGCAGAGGAGAUUGGAAUUCCCGGUGUAGCGGUGAAAUGUGUAGAGAUCGGGAGGAACACCGGUGGCGAAGGCGGGUCUCUGGGCAUUUCCUGACGCUGAGGCGCGAAAGCUAGGGGAGCAAACAGG